AGAAAGUUAGAUCAUAAGUUCUAAGGUGAGAGCAAUGACAACCAUAUAUAUCAUAUUAGUUCCUUGUUACAGAACUUUUUUAUAUUUUUCUGUUUUAGUAACUGGAAUUCCCUGGUAGCUCAGCUGGUAAAGAAUCCUGCCACAAUGCAGAAGACCCUGGUUUGAUUCCUGGGUCAGGAAGAUCCACUGGAGAAAGGACAAGCUACCAACUCCAGUGUUCUAGGUGUCCUAGAUUUAAAGAAGGAAGAUCAGAGGGAUGAUCGUCUGGAGGUGAUCACUGAUGAUGACAAAGAGGCUGAGGAAGCAGGGGAUGGCAGAGAUGGCUUCCAUGAAUGGUGAAUCCAUUGCUGUUUGGAGGAGUGAAGUGGUAUAAUUUUUUUUAAAGGUAUUUAAACUAAUAACCCUGUUUUUUUUAUUUACCACAAGUAUUUUUAAAAAACUCCACCAUGGUCAAACUGAUGUCUCUAUAGAGGAAAGGGCCUGACAAAGUGAGGCAAGAUUGUAUUGAAAAAUAUUUCUUUCAUUUGCAGAAAAACUUGCCAUAUAUGUAUUUUUUUUUUCUAUGAGGUCAUAUUUUUCUCCGGUUUUAAGCCUCACAUAUAAAGAGUCAACCCACAUACCUAUGCCAUUGAGAAAGAAAAAGGACAAUGAGAAACAUGGAGAAACCUUGAGAAAGAAAAAUCAUUAGAUUUACUGAUAGACAUUAAAGACCAGUACAUUAAGAAUUACUCACUUCAAAAACCACUACAAUAUUGUAAAGUAAUUAGCCUCCAAUUAAAUAAAUUAAUUAAAGAAAAUUACUCACUUAAAUUGUUCAGUAAGUAACAAAAGGGGCCAAAGUGCUUGGUUAAAAAAAAAGAUGAUUAUUCCAAACAGCAAACCCAUUUGUGUUCAAGCAAAUAGCUGCUCCUUUUUCAUUUCAUAGACUUCCCUGAUAGCUCAGUUGGUGAAGAAUCUGCCUGCAAUGCUGGAGACCCCAGUUCAAUUCCUGGGUCAGGAGAUCUGCUGGAGAUGGGAUAGGCUACCCAGUUUCCAUUUGGCUCCCCAGGAACCAUCAGUGGAACAAGUUACUGGGAAUGUGUUGAGUCUCCUUAACUGGGGAGAGGACCCAAGGAUGUUACCAUUCAUGUUGAAGAGUGUUACCCCCGUGGAGAGCACAGACCUUAGAAGACUGACAGUAACCACCCUAUCAUGAUGAGACUCUGAUCUACUUCUGAAGAUUUUUAGGAAGAAAGGAUUUCUGCCACCAGUACACACACUUGAUAACAGCUUUGUUAGUUUAGGCCUUACAGGUUACCGAGUGCUUUCAGAGAUUUUCUCCUUUGUAUUUUUACCACCAGUGGUGUAGGAAGCACAUAGUUUAUUCUUGUUACAGAUAAGCAAGAGGAGGCUCAUUAGCAAAGGUGGUCAUAAUCAAGUUGCUGUUGAAGGACUGAAGUUGGGUCAUUAAUACAGGUCUUCCAGUUCCAAGUUCUUGCAGUGAAAUCAUGUUGAUUCUAGAUAAGUACUGUCAAAAAGUGUUUUUCCUCCUAAACUGUGUCUCUCAUACUAUAAUGAAGAUUCAGUUUUUCUUGAUUUGUAAAAAAAUGAAGCUAGAGAGCAUUACUGGCAGACAUCUGAGACAGCUAGUUAUUAAAAUGAUUAAAAUUAUCCAGUAUAAUUUUGUUAACCUUUCUACUUAGGCCAUAUUUUCUAAAACUCUUUAAUCAUCUUAGGUGGGUCUCAUUUCAGUGUCUAAUUAUUAGAAUUUGUGGUAAGCAGUGUGAUAAAGUUACUUUACUGUUUCUUGAAAAACACAAUCUGUCACAAUAAGAUAAUUAUGUGUAGAAAAAUAUGAACAGUUAAGAACAUAACAGUACCUAUCUUCUACGAAUGAAUGAAGAAGGAACUGCUGACAGUUAAGAGAUUACUAAAAUAAUUGUUUCACAAUACCGUGGGGUGAAUUAGAAGCUAGCAGUAAAAAUGUGCUUAAAAAUAAAUUGGCACAAGCUGCCUUAAAGAAGUGUUAUUGUUCUUAUAAUGCUGUGGUUUUAAAUUAUAGUUCUUGUUUUCAAAUGUUAAAAUUAGAAACUUUAUAUCAUGGGACCACAGCCUUAAACAUCUUAUAAUAUUGUGUGGUAAUAUGAAAUUCUACUUAUAAAAGCAUUUUAGGUGUAACACUGUGGAAAUGUGAGUUAAGGACAAUAAUUGUGGAGUGAAUGCUUUAUAUUUUACAAAUAAACCUUGCACAUAUAUUGCUCACCCUAUAAAGUAUUAUUAUCUAUAUUUUAGCCAAGUAAACUGGAGUAAGGAGAAGCCAGAAAUCCCCUCCAAAUAGCACACAGGUCUUGGGCUGAACUCAAGAGAUCAGACUCAAUCUUCUCAUUUCAAAUAUGGGACUUAUUCCAUUUUUUCACUUUCCCAUUCCAAAUAUUCCACAUGAGUCAUGGAGCAAUUUUCUACUUAGCCAUCCCAGGCAAAAAUGUAGGUGAUACUAUGUUUAAAAACUUUUAGUCCCUUUUGUCUCCUCUGUUUUAACAAAAUGUAUAGAACGUCCUUAAUUAUAAGAACUCAGCUUCUUUUUAUACACUCAGGAUAUUGACACAUAGGAUCGCUACUCUUCUCUAUUUGUUAGCUAUUAUCAUCUUUUAAGCUCAUGUGCUGGGCUUUAUUCUUUUUAGAAAGAAUGUAUUUGGAAGUCUGUAUUUACUGCUAUAGCAACCUUUGCCCAAAACAUUGAGUUACUUGACAAACAUGGAGAAAAACAGCUUCCUCACCUAUCUGAAACUCCGUGGGAUUCACACAUGCAAUUACUGCUCUGGUUUGAAGGACUUCAAGAGAUUGCAAGGACCACUGGUUGUGUCCACAAGGGCUUGUCAGUUUUUUAAACCCAUGACCACAUAAGUUGUUUUAAGGUGUCUUAGUAUAGCUGCUAUAACAAUCUAGUGUUGACUGGGCGGCUUAUCAACAACAGAAACAUAGUUUUCAUAGUCUGGAGGCUAAAAGUCCAAGAUCAGGGUGCCAGCAUGGUCUAGUUCUGAUGAAAGCCCUCUUCUAGGACACAAACUGCUGUUUUCUUGUUAUAUCCUCACACAGGCGAAUAGAAUGAGGAAGUAAACUCUUUAUGAUUCUUAAAAGGACACUAAUUCCAUUCAUAAGGACCCCAUCCUCAUGACCUCAUCUUAAUCCCAAUUGUCUCCCAAAAGCCCCACUUCCUAAUUCCAUCACAUUGAUGGGUAGGGUUUCAACGUAUGAAUUUGGGGGGUGGGGUACAAACAUUAAGUCUAUAACAGAAGGAGAACUGAAAGUAAGUUGAAUUUUGAGAUUGGUCAGGCAUGACUUUGAGUCCCAGCUCUAUCCUUCCACUGAAUUGUGUUCAUACUUGCCAGUCUCAUUUCUAAAGAAAUUUAAUUUUAAAGGAAGAUUUGAAAAGUUAAGAUGUAUAUUGCUAUUCAUUUGUGAAAAUUCAGAAAGUUGAAGAAAAUAGAAAUUGUGUUUACUCUGAAA
rnacentral:lncRNA from 1 species